AGGAAUAUUGGACAAUGGGCGGAAGCCUGAUCCAGCCAUGCCGCGUGCAGGAAGAGGGCCUUCGGGUUGUAAACUGCUUUUGUACGGAACGAAACGGUCCGGGUUAAUACCCUGGGCUAAUGACGGUACCGUAAGAAUAAGCACCGGCUAACUCCGUGCCAGCAGCCGCGGUAAUACGGAGGAUCCAAGCGUUGUCCGGAUUUAUUGGGUUUAAAGGGUGCGUAGGCGGACUUAUAAGUCAGAGGUGAAAGCCGGUAGCUUAACUAUCGAAUUGCCUUUGAAACUGUAAGUCUUGAAUUUUGUUGAGGUAGGCGGAAUGUAUCAUGUAGCGGUGAAAUGCAUAGAUAUGAUACAGAACACCGAUUGCGAAGGCAGCUUACUAAGCAAAUAUUGACGCUGAGGCACGAAAGCGUGGGGAUCAAA
rnacentral:rRNA from 1 species